UACAUGCAAGUCGAGCGGACCGACGGGAGCUUGCUCCCUUAGGUCAGCGGCGGACGGGUGAGUAACACGUGGGUAACCUGCCUGUAAGACUGGGAUAACUCCGGGAAACCGGGGCUAAUACCGGAUGCUUGAUUGAACCGCAUGGUUCAAUCAUAAAAGGUGGCUUUUAGCUACCACUUGCAGAUGGACCCGCGGCGCAUUAGCUAGUUGGUGAGGUAACGGCUCACCAAGGCGACGAUGCGUAGCCGACCUGAGAGGGUGAUCGGCCACACUGGGACUGAGACACGGCCCAGACUCCUACGGGAGGCAGCAGUAGGGAAUCUUCCGCAAUGGACGAAAGUCUGACGGAGCAACGCCGCGUGAGUGAUGAAGGUUUUCGGAUCGUAAAACUCUGUUGUUAGGGAAGAACAAGUACCGUUCGAAUAGGGCGGCACCUUGACGGUACCUAACCAGAAAGCCACGGCUAACUACGUGCCAGCAGCCGCGGUAAUACGUAGGUGGCAAGCGUUGUCCGGAAUUAUUGGGCGUAAAGCGCGCGCAGGCGGUUUCUUAAGUCUGAUGUGAAAGCCCCCGGCUCAACCGGGGAGGGUCAUUGGAAACUGGGGAACUUGAGUGCAGAAGAGGAGAGUGGAAUUCCACGUGUAGCGGUGAAAUGCGUAGAGAUGUGGA
rnacentral:rRNA from 1 species